GGGUCCAACCUCCCACCCGUGUUUAACGAACCUUGUUGCUUCGGCGGGCCCGCCUCACGGCCGCCGGGGGGCAUCCGCCCCCGGGCCCGCGCCCGCCGAAGACACCUGUGAACACUGUCUGAAGUUGCAGUCUGAGAAACUAGCUAAAUUAGUUAAAACUUUCAACAACGGAUCUCUUGGUUCCGGCAUCGAUGAAGAACGCAGCGAAAUGCGAUAAAUAAUGUGAAUUGCAGAAUUCAGUGAAUCAUCGAGUCUUUGAACGCACAUUGCGCCCUCUGGUAUUCCGGAGGGCAUGCCUGUCCGAGCGUCAUUGCUGCCCUCAAGCACGGCUUGUGUGUUGGGCCCCCGUCCCCCCCACCGGGGGGACGGGCCCGAAAGGCAGCGGCGGCACCGCGUCCGGUCCUCGAGCGUAUGGGGCUCUGUCACCCGCUCUUGUAGGCCCGGCCGGCGCCAGCCGACCCCCCUCAAUCUAUUUUUUCAGGUGACCUCGGAUCA
rnacentral:misc_RNA from 1 species